rnacentral:lncRNA from 1 species
UCAUGAUAUCGACUCGAUUUUAUAAUGAGAUCAAUUCCACCAAUUCCGAAUCAUAUUCAUAAUAAUCUAAAAUAACUUUUAAUAAAGAUUGCUAUCACAUUCCAAGAUCAUAUCCUAUCAAGAUUCUCAAAAUAUUUAAAUGUUAACAUAAUACCUCAUUCAUCAUAAUAUAGCUCAAAAUAUAUUAGAUUUAUAUUUAUCCCUCG